UACGUAGGUGGCAAGCGUUGUCCGGAUUCAUUGGGCGUAAAGGGUGCGUAGGCGGCGCGGUAAGUCGGGUGUGAAAUCUCGGAGCUUAACUCCGAAACUGCAUUCGAUACUGCCGUGCUUGAGGACUGGAGAGGAGACUGGAAUUUACGGUGUAGCGGUGAAAUGCGUAGAUAUCGUAAGGAAGACCAGUGGCGAAGGCAGCUGGCUACACAGUUAUUGACGCUGAGGCACGAAAGCGUGGGGAUCAAACAGG
rnacentral:rRNA from 1 species